UACGACAGCGCCACCAACGCGAUUCUCUCGAUUCUCCAGUCCGGAGGUCCAAGUGUGUGGAAAUAUUGGUUUGUGGGUGUACUCCUGUGCGCUUAUAUUCGUUCGAUCGUUCGCGAGAGGAAUGAAGAAUUUAAGCAGCAGAUGUAUGAGAAAUGAUUAUUUCAUGGUCGCGAUCCUCACAGUCCGCUCCGGCAGCUUCGAGACCCUCCUCGUCGCUGUCCCGCAGCUCCGAGGCCAUUUUUGGGCAGCUCGUCGAGCCUAAACUGUGCUCGCGUCCGCCGCACAGCACCCUCGAGCGGACCAAAGGAGCCGAAAAGCAUCAGCAGCGAUAGCAGUGUCCAAAGUGUGCACCCGGAAGCUCGGAGGUGGAAAGAGAAAGCUCGCUCGGUCUCGACCGUUCAACCCCCAGGACUCAUCCCCUCCGUAUCAAAGAGGCGUGUGCGGUAGCCCACGGAUCACAGAGUUAACACUCAGAUUUUCGAGCACUGUACGAGGCUUGUCAACGUUCCUGAACUUAACAUCAUUUCCCGCUGUACAUCGCUGCCUCGAGCCGAACUCUCCCCCUCGAGGAUGGGGUUGGGGGACUGAGCCCUCCCCCCCCCCCCCCCCGCGACCCGUUCCUCGCUUUCUCUUUUACUUUUCUCUCUCUCUCUCUCUCUCUUCCUCCCUCGAUCCUCACCAUUCCCCUGGAUCCCGAAAAAAUUCCAUUCUUCCCUCCUUUUAUUAUCUCAGCGCUGCUGAAAUUGCCGAGUAACACUGCGAUAAAAAUCCUCGCCCGACUCAAGCAUAUAGGGGAACGACAACGACACCUAUUGGCCGACUCACCAAACCGGAGGCUAAGCUGCUCUCACUAACGAAAGCCCGGAGGAUAGUGGUCCAACCACAACACAUGCUACGUCGAACGUCUCUGCUACAAUCGUCCGGGCUGAAUCGCUCCAAUCACAGUGGGUGCAACCAACAGGAUUCCAACGAGAAAGGACUAGUCCCGGGUCACCCGCAGUCUCCAGGCGAAUCCAAUAGUACUUGAUGUUUCAAAAUCCGGUUAGCAGCUAUUGCUCUAGAGUAAAACUAACAGACACUGAAUAUGCAGACCAUCGAAACAGAUUGACGAAGUUUCAUCUUCGAUUUUGGUUUUUUACUGUUUCACAGCAAUUCAAAAUAAAAUUUUGGUAAAAUGUCAA